GAGACAACGAGACUGACCGGGAUUACCUGACAAGAUGGAACAAUCUCCGCAAUUCCUGUGAAGGGAUAGUGGAAUCGCAAGCCAUAGCGUGGUUUGCCCAAGGAUGUCGGCAUGGCAGCAUGUUGUGGCAAAAGCUGCAAAGAGAGAUGCCAGCUACCCUAUCUGAGAUGAUCCGGAUCGCCGACAUGUAUGCGCUUGGCGAUCCGACUCAGCCAUCGCUGAUGCCGGCAGAACCGCAAAGGGAGCAGCCGACAUACAAUCCUGCCGGGGCAUUCCGGAGGAACGAUCAUCAAGAUCACCGCAACAAGAGAA
rnacentral:lncRNA from 1 species